ACUUUUGUAUCCUGUCCAUAGAUUUCUCAAACUCUAUUCUACCCUUGGUAUACUCAGAAGUAGACAGUGGCGGACUUGGGCUUAGACCUGGUGGGUCAAGUGACUCACCAGGCCCAAAAAAAAAUUUUAAGUUAAUUUUAAAAAAAAAAAAAAAAAAAAAAAAUCAGUUUUCCCAAAUUCACGAAUUCAGUAUUUCAGUUCAUGGCCUUCAAUCCUUCAUGCCCUAGCCAAUUCGCCUCUUCCCUAAUUCCCUUCAAGGCUUCAAUCCUUCGCCAUCAUCAAUCACCUAUUCACCUCCAUAAUCGCCUCCUCCAGUCCUCCUCUUCGCAGUUCGCAACUCGCAACUUCGCAAGUAAGCAUCUUCCUCACUCCUCAGUUAGUCAGUUCCUCUUCGCAGACUCGCAGUUCGUGCCUUCGACCCUUCGUCUUCCUCUUCGCAUAAAUUCAGCUGUGAUGCUGUGAUGCUGGCCUGCUGCCCUGUGAGCUUGUGAUUUCAAGCUGUGAAAUGGUGAAUUUGUUAAUUGUUCAAGCUGUGAUACUGCCUGCUGGCCUGCUGCUCGCCUAGUCGGCAGUCGCCUGCUGCCCUGCUCCACUGCUCGAGAGUCGAGAGCGUGCUCUGCGCUCACCGCUCUUCGCUUCGUCGCUUCUUCUAAAGUCUAAUCUCCUAUUCUCAUUUUGCUAAAUGAAGAGAAAACGCACUCCAAAUGAACUGCAAAACAUUACUAGCUUCUUUGCUAAAAAGAAUCCUACUUCAACUUCUCUUCCACAUCCCACACAAAAUGAACAAACUAUAUCUCCACCUCAACAGAGUGAACAAACUAUAUGUCCACCUCAAGAAAGUGAACAACAUUCAUCUCCAUCUAAUUAUUCCACUCAAAAUUCCCCUCAAAAUGAACAAGGCCAAUGUUCUCCUAAUGCCCCAAUCUUUGGUGAAAGAUUAAGUGAACAUGAAUUUGCUAAUCUUCCACAAGAUCCAGGAAAGAGGAUACUUGAUUAUCGAUUGUGAACAUGAAUU